rnacentral:rRNA from 1 species
AAAUUGAAGAGUUUGAUCAUGGCUCAGAUUGAACGCUGGCGGCAGGCCUAACACAUGCAAGUCGAACGGUAACAGGAAGCAGCUUGCUGCUUCGCUGACGAGUGGCGGACGGGUGAGUAAUGUCUGGGAAACUGCCUGAUGGAGGGGGAUAACUACUGGAAACGGUGGCUAAUACCGCAUAACGUCGCAAGACCAAAGAGGGGGACCUUCGGGCCUCUUGCCAUCAGAUGUGCCCAGAUGGGAUUAGCUUGUUGGUGAGGUAACGGCUCACCAAGGCGACGAUCCCUAGCUGGUCUGAGAGGAUGACCAGCCACACUGGAACUGAGACACGGUCCAGACUCCUACGGGAGGCAGCAGUGGGGAAUAUUGCACAAUGGGCGCAAGCCUGAUGCAGCCAUGCCGCGUGUAUGAAGAAGGCCUUCGGGUUGUAAAGUACUUUCAGCGGGGAGGAAGGUGUUGCGGUUAAUAACCG